rnacentral:siRNA from 1 species
CGUUGGCUAAGUCCGUUCGGC